AGCGGGCCUUAGAGUUUGAUCCUGUAUCAGGACGAACGCGGGCGGCGUGCCUAAUACAUGCAAGUCGAGCGAACCGAAGAGAGCUUGCUCUCUGAAGUUAGCGGCGGACGGGUGAGUAACACGUGGGCAACCUGCCUGUAAGACUGGGAUAACUUGCGGAAACGUGAGCUAAUACCGGAUACGCUUUGACAUUCUCCUGAAUGUGAAAGGAAAGAUGGCUUCUGCUAUCACUUACAGAUGGGCCCGCGGCGCAUUAGCUAGUUGGUGAGGUAACGGCUCACCAAGGCGACGAUGCGUAGCCGACCUGAGAGGGUGAUCGGCCACACUGGGACUGAGACACGGCCCAGACUCCUACGGGAGGCAGCAGUAGGGAAUCUUCCGCAAUGGACGCAAGUCUGACGGAGCAACGCCGCGUGAGUGAAGAAGGUUUUCGGAUCGUAAAACUCUGUUGUUAGGGAAGAACCCGUCCCGUUCAAAUAGGGCGGUACGCUGACGGUACCUAACCAGAAAGCCACGGCUAACUACGUGCCAGCAGCCGCGGUAAUACGUAGGUGGCAAGCGUUGUCCGGAAUUAUUGGGCGUAAAGCGCGCGCAGGCGGUUUCUUAAGUUUGAUGUGAAAGCCCACGGCUCAACCGUGGAGGGUCAUUGGAAACUGGGAGACUUGAGUGCAGAAGAGGAGAGUGGAAUUCCACGUGUAGCGGUGAAAUGCGUAGAGAUGUGGAGGAACACCAGUGGCGAAGGCGGCUCUCUGGUCUGUAACUGACGCUGAGGCGCGAAAGCGUGGGGAGCGAACAGGAUUAGAUACCCUGGUAGUCCACGCCGUAAACGAUGAGUGCUAAGUGUUAGGGGGUCUCCGCCCCUUAGUGCUGCAGCAAACGCAUUAAGCACUA
rnacentral:rRNA from 1 species